rnacentral:lncRNA from 1 species
UUUGAGCAAGCACGGCUGAUCAAUACUGUGGAGGACUGGAAAAUUAAAAUUAAAGCCCCGAGUCCUCCUAAUCCUAAAACACUUGUUAUGGGAAUCAUUUAUCAGACAUCUGUGGACGGAGAUUUAAUGGAUGUUAUCAGUGGCGUUGCUGUCCCAUGAGCUCAGCCAAAAGAGACACACAUCACAAAACAACGGCAACAACCUGUCUGUGCACCAAGCGCUAAGAGGGUGCUGUUGAUUUGGGAAACAAUCAGGAUCAAACUGGUCUUUGCAUGGUGAAGAUCCCCCUCUGGAUUUCAAGUGUGAGCGUUUAUAAAUCGCACAAUCAAGACCGAAUCCAGAAAGAGAGAAAUUUUUUCGGUCAAAUCUAAGAGGUUGAUUUAGAGGUUGCAGCAGAGGAGACAGAAAGUGUUGUAACAGUUGUGACAGCCUUUGUGUAGCGACAGGGUGGCUGGCGGCAGAGUGAGAAUCUUUGAAUUCUUCCCGAGCUUAUCUCCCCAUCCCCUUGGCGACCUCUCAGGGACGUGCCGUGGAUUAUAUCCAGCGUCCGCAGGCUCUGAAGAUGGCCAGGAGAGUUGACAGGAAAUACAGUUUUGGAUGAGGGGCAGUGCGAGGCCGUGUGUAGGCAGGGUGUCGUAUACUCACUCCUGAUAUAUUACCUUCAAGUUGGAAAGAUCCUUAUUAGUGCUCAUACAGAAAUAGCUUGGCGUUGGAUACUCGGAUGUCUUUGCCAAAGACAUACUGAAAUUUUCAACUGUUCGUAGUGUGACGUUUAAAGGGAUAACAGUGGAUUCUCACCCAAACUCUAUUUUUAUGAGUGUGAAUACAAAAACAGGAUUUCUUUUAAUUUUAAACAUUCUGGGGUACAAUCAUUAGCUGUUCCUUGAAAGAAAAAAUGAUGCUAGGUAGAGGAUAAUCCUCUGAACUUUGUUCUGGUGACACAGAUCCGUGGAAAAGGUCAGAGUCCCUGGAUGCUCAUCAGAGCCAGGUUUACCGCUUAAAGGUUGAUUGUUCACACGGAUGUUUUCUGUGGGACGGAUUCAGGAAAUGAUGGCCUAGAUAAACACCCACCUAAACCUCCACUCAAGUCUGUGCACUGCAACACUAUCACCUGUAUGAAAUCUGUAUACAUUUGUUUUAAUGAUCAAACAGGAAGUUAUUUUCUUCUUCAGACUUUAUGUGCAGCAUGGUAAGAAAACUUUUCAGAUUUGUCCACUGAAAAGAAAGUUUACAGUAGGGCUGGGGGUUAUGGCGUCAAAUCAAUAUCACGAUAUAUUGAGCAGUUCACCUCGAUAACGAUAAAUGGACGAUAACUACUCCACAAGCUGCUCACCCCCUCCCACAUUAACUUUGUCUACUUCAGCCGCUACAACUUUUGAACCGUCCUCCAUCUCCUCACCUGUCUUUCCCUCUUUGUGGAGUCGUGUCUCUGACGUAGGACAGCAUCUUACAGGGACAUGAGACCAUAGCCUACCUACACACAUCCAAAACCAACCUUUAUUUAUGUAUUUUUUUGACACCAAAUAUACAGAUAUGGGCAAAAUGAUGUCAGUUAUUGUCAUAAAUUUCGGUAUCUGUAUAUUUUCAGUGUAUCGCCCAGCUCUAGUUUAAAUAGACAGACUCCCGACUGAGGAAAUGAACGUCUUUUAUUCCCUCGAGUGUUAAGUGUCAGAUGGAGUGUAUAUUAGAGUGAGAGUGCAAGGUCUUGUGCAGAACAUGCCAGUCAGUAGAUAGCAUCGUUAUUUAACAUUGUGCACCUACAGUCUAUCAGCAGAUAUGAUUAUAAAGAUGACUCCAUCAGUGCUCCUCUGGCAUUUAGUGUUUUUGUUCCCAUUUAGAAACAAGAACAAAAUCAUGCUCCUAAUAUGUGAAGUAAAGUUACACAACAAGCAUGUCAGGAGUUAUUCUCAGUCAAAUCUGAACAGAGUCUCCAGAAUUCAGUCUGAUAUGAUAAAUAAGUCUGAGUCUUCUUCUCCAUCUUAGAGUUUGAUUCCUGUUCGUCUGAGUCCACGUCACUGUCAGUUUCUAUGCAACAGUUUCCUUUAAAAAAAUGAGCCGGAUUUCUUUGUGCAUAUUACAGUUGAGGUAUUGUGCUACUGUAAAAAUGAAAUGUGUACUUGAGUUUUUAUGAAAGACACAAACCUCCCACCGUAUAAGCUGAAAGCAAACCUGCAAGCGAGCGAGUCUUUGCUGUAUUUCAUAUUUGACAGAUGAGCUCCUUUGAACGAACACAAAAGAUCUUUGGUUUCCUCGUCUUACAUGUCAUCGUGCUUCUCCUCCUGGAUAAACCUCCCAAGCCUCAGUCUUUGCUUUGAUUCUCGAUGUUUCUCCUCUGGUAUUAAGACACACAUAUUUCACCCAAGUUGAGAGCAGAUGUCUAAAAUCAACCCAAAAAUGUUAUCAGAAAUCAAUAUGUUGACUUUAAAAGACCCACUCAGAUGAAAAUCAUGUUUUUCUUGUUUUUUUUACACGUUCAUGGCAUUUUUCUGAUGCUACAAGACAUAAAAUUGCACUUCUGAAUAUUUCUGCAUUCAAGGUGCUGUGACUCUCUGGCAAACUCAAACGGCAGGUUGAGACACUGAGAUUUCAUAUGUAGCAAAUCCAAACUCAGACGCAGGUCACACUCGGAGAAAUAGAGAGAACGAUCGUAGAAAAGUAAGAAAGCUAAUCAUGAUAUUAACUUUAAUCAUGUCCCUAAAGAUUUCGUGUACGAGAGCCGAAGAGCUCCUAUGUUCCUGCUACUGCUGCCGCACAAGCCCGCAUCUGGAUCAGCACCGAUCUGGAACGGCUGCGAUUUUCGCCGUUUGCCAAUACCUACCAGAUCCGUUUGUGAGGCAAAUUUCGUGGCGGAUUAUGGACAGACAUGGAAUUGCAAGAACUCACAAGAACCCAUGGAUUCACGUGCAAUCACGCGAUAACGAUUUUUCUCUAUAGCCACAUGACCAUAUAAGCAGUAAAAUGUGUCCUUCUAGACCUUUAAAAUCAGCAUCUUCUCAUCCAUGGUGUCAUCGGGGUGAAAUGCUGUCUAAAACCUUUCACUUGUUCGUCCCCGACCGUUUGCAUGGUGUGAAAUACGAUCUUGCCUGAAACAUGGAGUGUUUUAUUUUUAAAAGAAGUUGGCUGUUUUAUUUUGUGUCUGUGCCUGACUUCCUUAAUCUGUGCUAAAUUUAUGCUCAAGCGUCCAGAAAAAUAUAACUCUUGCGAUCAGCUGCGGAACGGAAAGAAGCCGGUGGAUAUUGGUUCCGGAUGCGUUGGAAAUCGGGGGUUAGGCUACAAGCUAGCUUGACGAGGAGUGUGCAGAGCAGCGCCGUCUCCGCCCACAGCUCAGAGGCGAAUUGCUAACAAGCUACUGGAGCUCUGCAGAAGAAAAGUCUUUGAAAAUGAUACAAGUGACGCAAUUUUUGGUAAAAACGCCAUAAUCACAAUUUAAAGUCCACUGAGAACACUUUAAGUAGUUAAAAAAAACUACCAGAGUGGGACUCUAAUCUCCUAAAGUUUGAAUAAAAAGUGGGAAAAAUCAGCCUCUUCUUACCGAGGCGUGGAUUAUCAUAAUAUGAAGAAUUCUUUUGGAGGUCAGCUGGGGUCACUAAUGAGGCGUUAGCUCCGGCUCCCCUCAGUCUGACUGAAGCUCUCUGUUUGGACUCCACAGCGUUGGACUGACCCGCAGCUGAUUGCACAAGGGAGGCAGGAGGCUUAAGAUUGUGUGUGUGAUUGUGUGUGUGUGUGUGUGUGUGCGUGUGUGUGUGUGUGAGAGAGAGUGUGAGAAACAGGAAAAAGAUGAGGAGCCAGCCGAUGAAGGAGAGAACUGUGGAUAUUAAAGUCACAUUCCCCUCACAUUUGCUCCAUGGCUGACCUUGAGACCAUGCCAGUGUGUGAGAUCAGCACAUCAGGACUGUAAUUGCUCACCUCGAGUAGCAGACCCUCUUGUCCUUUCUUCAACUCGAUCCCUGCCUUACAGAAGGCCUUUGUUAGUGUCAAACUGCUGAGCUCUGUUUAUUGUACCUGCAGCACCAACACAGCGCCAAACUGGCAACAGCCGAGACUUAGAAAAUGUUUGUUUACUGACCAACCAGAGGACGAAAUAGUACAAGUCCUGUUCAUGCUUAGUGGUAUUUUCAGGGGAGGAGUUUUUGAGGUAGUGUCGAGAUUUUAUCCUCCAGAUUAGCAGGAAUCUAUCUCCUUCAGUUUGUAAAAAUAGAUUCAGUCAGGAAAGUCUUUUCUUUAAAAGAGGACGUCAGGAUAUUUCUAUAAGCCCCCGUCUUUACAAUACUGCAGUACAGCAGCGUGAGCCUCUGUGCGAUAAAUCGUGGAGGAGUGGAGUCCCCUCUGGGUCUGUCAGCCUGUGCAGUCGGUGUCAGCAGCAGCAGCAGCAGCCUUAGAUCCCCUUUCAGAGAGCUGGGACUUAAUUGGGCUCUCACGCUUGCUCGAGAAAUUUGUCAGGUCGCUGUGAAAUGAACCUCUCGGCCAAAUCAAGAUGUGUGUCCCUCUUUCCCCCCACGAAAGACCCCUCUCUACGUCUGUGAUCACACUGGAAUAAAAAGGACUCUCAAGCUUUUAAAUGGAUAAACUCCUUUUGCUGAUUUCCUGUAGGCGAUAUGUUAUGAAAAGGUAAAUAGAGGCAGAUUUUCAUGGUUGUGCUCAGUAAUUGUAUCUGCAGGGAUUGCUCCAGAAAAAAAAUGCGCAACAGGAUUCAUGCCUCAUCUAUUUAUAUACACUUGAAGUAAGAGCUUAUUACUCUUACACUCAGCCUUACAUGUUUUUCCAUUAAUUUCCAGCAGGAAGCAGGAUGAGCGCCUAAGUCUAUCCCCUUAUCGGCUACUUUUCUGAGUCUGGCGGUAAGCAGAGCUCUGCAGCAGCAGCAGCCGCGCUAAUAUUCUCCAUCUGUCAGUGAGGCUGCCCAGGUUGGCCACGAUGCUAGGAACUAUCACAUGCAGUAAAUGAGGCACGCAUGGUCAGCUGCGAGCCAGUCACCAUGCCUUGUCAACCCGCAUCACCUCCGCUCUCUCUCUUGGUGACUGACUGUGCAGAUGUCUCUCCCAGGUUGCUCCAGGGCCGGAUGACUCAGCCUGGGCUCGAGUUCAGCGCUUCACUGACUCCCCGGUUCAACCCUCUCACUCAGUCAACCGCAGCGACUUAACAUGGUCUGUCUGAAUCGCUGAGGCCAGAGCGCUGGCUGUAUUAUCUGCUCUGUUAGACUCUGUGGUUGGUCCAAACUUCAUGUAUGACUGACAUCCCAGCCCAACCCUGCUCCAUAAGAUGAGCAACUACCCCUUCAGUGUGCCUCUUUAGAAAAAACAGUUUUCCUCAUGGAGUUCAAAAUAUUUGAUAAUCUGCUACAGAAAACAAAAAGAGUAUGCUCUGAACAUUUCUAUUUUUUAAAUCAAACGGAAUCAAAUUUAUUUAUAUAGCGCCGAAUCACAACAGUUGUUAUCCCAAGACGCUUUCCAAAAAAAAGCAGGUCAAGACCACGCUCGUUGUUUGAUGAAUUAUCAAGACCCAACUUUUAAAGGCACAGUUGACGAUUGGAGAAGCAGCUGGGAAAAACUGAGCCGCUGAGGCAGAUUUGAAAAAAGCAUCCCACCCCUAACCCUAACUCUAACUCCCCUCCAAACCCGUAUCGCCCUCCUCACGACACCCCCCCUCCAGUAGAGCCAGCAGAAGAUCCUAUGUCAGAUUCACCAUGUCGGAUUGUUAGUGACUAGCGGCAGUAAACGCCAGCUAUGCUAGCAAGCGCCGUCUGCAGCUGCCUGGACAGCUAUCGUGUUGACAUUGCAGAGUCUAAUAAGAGUUACUUAUGUAACAUGUGCCACGAUAAAAGGCGAUAAAAAUUACCUGUUCAACAAAAUCUCUGCUGUCUUGGCGUCUGUUUUCAGGCCCAUCUCUGGUGUAGCUUUCUCUCCCGCUCGAAGGAUGACCUGAGGUUUAUUCGAGUUAGAUUCCUCGUUUAGUCACAUUUCCUCUUUGUCUCCACCGUUUCUUCUGUCAGCUUGCGUUUUCUUCCCACUUUUGGCGGUGGGGCGAGCAGAAGUGUUUUUUUUUUUGCGUCCUUCUUCAUCACAGCUCCUGUAGCUAAGCUGCUACGCUACUUUUAGCCGCUCAGAGCUCUGAGGAGGGCCGGAGGAAUGGGAAGGACGAGUCGGAACUACAGGAGAGGGGUGUGUCCAAUACAGCGAGGUGAUUGGAUGGAGAGGCGGAGCAGGAGAUUGACCAAUACGAGCUGUCCGGGACGGCUGGCUCUCAUUGGUCAAUGUUUUCGCAGCUCUGCACCUGAUAGGGUGAACAGAUUUUUUCCAUUCUUUUUUUUUUCUUCACUUUGUGGAGAUCGCACUAUAGGACCAUGAUCGCCAUAGAAACGAGGUUCAUAAUAAUUACCAAUCUCUCCAACUGUCAACCAUGCCUUUGAGAUAGGACAGAUUUGGCCCAUCUCAUCUAACAUGAGUGACACUGGUAAGGAAAAACUUCCUUUUAACAGGCAGAAACCUUGAGCAGGACCAGACUCAUGUUAGACAGCCACUCACCGCUGCUAUUCAAAUCACACACAGUCCUAUUAUCCAUUAGCAUUUACCGGGAUCUGUUUUUUAUGCGGUCUAAUCUGCAGAGGAAUUGAGAUUUACGUCUAAAGUUUAGAGAAAAUAAAGGGUGGGGAUCUUUGUUUCGUGAGGGCUCAGAUUAUUGAAAUCGUCAGCUUCUCGUCUUUCUAUAAAUAAUGUCCCAGUUAUUCAGGAAAAUCCUCAGAACUGACAGUGACAGCUUUUCUUGGAGCAACUUUCUACAGAAGACAGUCUCUCUCUAAGUUUGCAAUUGAGAACCUCUGCACAUAAAACCAUGUCAAGAUGCCACCAAAGGGAAGUGCAAAAAUAUGUUUCUGGGGCAUGUGUGAACUCUGCCUUUGAGCUACCUCAACCGCAACCACAUUAGAUUGAAGUGCAGGUAUCCUUUACAGAGAUCACUGAGCACCUCUCUGUCAUCUGCCUUUGUUGUUUUCAGUGACAGCCAGCUCGUGCUUUCCCCCCAUUGCUUUUGAGAUGUUGUCUACGUUGCAUCAGAUCAACAGAGAAACACUUGUGCAUGCUCGUCAUAUUUUAUUCAUCUUAGCAGAGGCUGCAGGCUCUUUGCUUCCUGCGAGCCCAAAGCAGGCAGCUGUCAGAAAGCCUGAAUCCCCAGAUGCUUUGCCCAUUUCUACUUCUAUACACACACAGCAUGCAGGCACAUUUAAUAGCAUACCGCACUGCUCCCUUGUGUGCACAUGUACAUGGAUGAAGGACUCAGGGUACAGAGGAUGGGCUCGUUUGUGAAAACCUCCUGGAAUUAAGAGCAAUGUAUGAAAAUCAGAAACAGUAGUAUAUCGCUCUACAUGUCAAGCUUUGAAUUUGGCAAAUGGGAUCUUCUCUUUGCUCGUGGAUGGACUGAUCCUGGUGCCUCAGAAUAGAAAUCUUUGUGAGGAAAAAAAGAGUGAAAAAUCUAAAAAUGGUGUCAGAAUUUAAUAUGCAUUAAUUUCCUCCUACGCGUGGACACAUGCAUACUCGAUAUAUGCAGCCAAACAUUAAUAACCCACUCAUCAUCAUAAUGACAUCCAUUGUAUACUGCAAGUAGAGCAGCAAAGACUUAAACACGUUAUUCACCGAUGGAGCGCUGCUGGGACGGACAACGGGAACAUAAACAACUUCAACGACAACAACAACAACAACAAGAACGGUUUCCUAAAAUAGCCGUCUGAGCAACAAGGCCCCCCUAAUGAUGUUGGCAUCUAAUUGGACAGGAUAGUUUGACAGCCGGCCUCUGGUGCUGCUCGACCUUUACAGGCAGAUCUGCGUGAUCCCGAUGAGGCCCACGGUUGAGUACACAUUUUGCAAGGCAUGCUUACAGAGCGCCCUACCACACAUACACGCUUCAUGUUCCUCAAAUAAACGCAUCCAGACCACUGCGCCCAGCGUGAUUGUGCACAUUGAACAGCUCAUCAGAAACGGCUAACUAGCUUGUGCACAGCAGCACUGGAGGUGACAGACAAUCCUCCCAGUCUUCUUAUAUUAUAGAGAGCAGGAAGAUAAAGUCAGAGAGUAGUUUUGUUUCUGCUGUGGGUUCGGUGCUGUGGAGGUGGUGGCUGCGGUAUAGACUGCAUACUAAUAGAGUGUUUUUCCUGUGGAGAGAAAAUGAGAUUUUUGUCAUGACUCCAAACAGCUCUAGUUGCUUUAUACUCUUUGCUUUGUUGUGACUAACAGUGUGAAACUCACCGUUUUAGGUGGUUUCCCCCUUUAUUUUACAGUCAACUCUUUCGCUAGUUUGUACCGAAUCUUUAUUGAUAAACUGAGUUGAAUAUUUACUCUCAGACGCUCAUCCUCUCAUUGGACUAUGAUCGUUUUAUAUCACACAACUUCUAAAUUGAUAAAUUUGAUUACAUCUGUUUUUCUUUUCUGGUGGAUACAAAGCGCUCGCCUGUUUGCCUGAAUACCUGCUGUUUUCUGGGCUUC